rnacentral:lncRNA from 1 species
GGCCACACCCAUGGCACAUUGAAAUUCCCAGGCUAGGGGUCAAAUCCAAGCUGUAGCUGCCAGGCUACACCACAGCCACAGCAACUCAGGAUCCGAGCCAUGUCUGCAAGAUACACCACAGCUCACGGCAACACCAGAUCCUUAACUUACUGAGCAAGGCCAGGGAUUGAACCCAUGUCCUCAUGGAUACCAAACCCACCAUUCCUUCUCCUGUGGGCAUCAGUGCAGUCCAGGGGUAGGGGAUUGAAUAGGUUUUUCUUUUUUUUCCUUUUGAAAAUUUCUCUGUAUCUGAUUCCUUCCUGUGACCUUCAGCUGAGCUCUUGGAAGGCUGAUCAUGGCUUUGCACACCAUGAGCACAAUAGACAAUUCUGUUUCUUUUUUCAGGCUGCCAAGAGUGAGCUCAUGCUCUGAGCUACGUUCACAUUUUCCAAUAAAUUAUUUCCAAGACUCUUCUUCCCAUAUCUGCUCUGAGAAACUCCACUCUUGGCCGUGAGUGUGUUCUGUCAGUGGACUGGUCAGAGGACAUUUUCAUAGCUAUGGUCCCCCUCUGGAGAAACGGGAUAAAGGAGCCGUGUUGGGGCUCCUUUAUAGGAAAGGAAGUUGGGGUUUGGUUAUCCUCAGCCGGAAGUCAAACAUGUGAAACAAUAAUGUUUUAAAUGAGCACUGCAUCUCAGUGAGGAACAGUGUAUGUGUGGCUUAGAAAUGUACAGUGUGGGGCCGUUUUCUUCUCUUCUGACAAAAAAAAAGAUCGCCGCAUCAUUCUUCAACCGUGCCAUCCAUGAGAAUAAUAUUUGGGACUUAUGUACCAACAGUGGGUAGAGUGUGUGUGUACGUGGUGUGGGUGUUUACGGCAUUGUGUCUUCACACUGUCUUUGUAAUAUGUGUGUGUGAUUGAUUUCAUAGACUAUACACACGGAAGAGGAAAUGAGCAAGGGUUGGCAGGUAGAGUUUGGGGUUUAUGGUGCUCUCUGGACGUGCCGUGACAUGCAGCAUGUAUACGAGCUGCUCCCUGCUCACCGCCUUGCAUUCUUUUACAAAUAGUGUUGAUAUUUUUUCAACUUGCUGUAAAGUAGGUUUCCUAUCUCAGGUGUUACUGACAUUUUAAACCAGAUAAUUCUUCACUGUGGAGGCCUGUCCUGUGUAUUGGGGGGCGGGUAUUUUAGCAGCACACGUGGCUUGUGCUCACGAGAUGCCCUUCCCUUCCCUCCCAAAAUGUGACUGUCAGAAGUAUCUCCAGACAUUGCCAAAUAUCCCCCAGGGGAGCAAAAUCACCCUCACUUGGGAAAACACUGAGAUAACGUAAUAUAUGACCUGUAUUCAGCAGUCCCUCUUCCCAAGAGAUGGGCAAACUGAGUCAGUUUUACAAAGAAGUUCUGAAGCUACCAUGUAAGCCAAGGAAGAGUGCUACUCAGAUCUCCCUUCCAGAGGGAACGACAGACAGGCUGAGGCCAGGCUCUCCCCAUGCUGCUCUCAGCUAAUGACUUAACACAGCAGAGGCACUGGAGCUGGGCCAUUUCUGCCCAACACGGAAUCCCUCAAAUGAGCAAUAUUUAUUUGAGCUCCCCAUGGCCUGGCUGAGACUUGCUCAGAGUUCCAUUGCAAUCCGAGGCUCUUUCCACCUAAUCCUCCUUCCUUCUGCCUCUUCUUUCCCAGUGUCAUGACCUAGAGAUCUCACAGUCCAGACCUACUUCUUCUUCCCUCUGUAUUUCACAGGCAUUUUCCCCAAAAACUUUCUACUUUGGUAUUGGAUCUACUUCCUGGAUUGGCUGACCUGACCAGCUGCCAUCAUCAAGGUGAAAUCUUAGCUUUCUUGCUGUUCCCCAAACAUUUCUGCCUUUGCAAAAGCAGUUUCUUCUCAGUGAAAUAGGCUUUUCACUGUUCUUUGCAUAGCAGGUUUCACUGUUCAGGUCUCAAACUAAAUGUUACAUUCUUACUUUUCUGACAUACAACCUGGAACCACCUCCAGGCAACGUCCAUCACGUCACCCACUUUGAUGUCCUUCAUAGACUUUUUGGUUGACUUUUUUGGUGUGUAUCUGUUUCCUUCCUUUAGAAUAAGCUCAUCACUGACAGGCACCACGUGUGUUGCUCAACAGUGCAUUUCUGGUGCCUACAACAGUACCUGAAAAUCAGGAGGAAACCAGACUCCCAAGCUCUGGAUCUCAGCCCCCUUCACCUACAAAAUUUGUUAUGAAAUACUAAUUUCAGACUAGUUGGUUCUUCCUGGCUUAGAAGAGAUGCCUACCUUGUUUCUUUGCCAAAGAUUUAGAUUUGGUUGUAAAUUAAUCAUAAACUUACUGAAAAUGCAAAUUGUUUCACAGCACUAGGCUAAAGGGAUUUAUAAAACACAAUUCCUGCCAGAACAUUCACAGGAAUUAAGAAUUUAUCCAGCAAAACGCCAAUGAAACAACAAAAGGCAACCUCAGUUAUGGUGCUAGAAAGGGAGUAAGUGGAGAAGGGUAUUUGAAGGACAGAGGAUGCAUCAAGUAAAGAACUGAUGGGUAGUUUGGGAUUAACAUAUAUGCACUAAUGUAUGUAAAACAGAUAACCAACAGAUAUCACAGGGAGAUAUAUUCAACACAGAUAUAUAUGAAUACAUAUAUAUGUAAUUGAGUCACUUUUCUGUACCCUUGAAACUAAUACAAGAUUGCAAAUCAGCUGUACUUCAAUAAAAAAAAUAAAUAAAGGGGGAAAGAAACACUUUGUUCUCUAAAGGUAUUAAGAACACAAUCCAAGAUGGCUCCAUGUUACUGCAGUAUAAUCCCACAACACUGGCAAAUUUCCUCAUUGUCAAAUCAUCUGAACCUUUUUCCAAGCUGGAGUUGAUGCCGAGUUGGUGCUGUCCAAUAACAAGGAUUCAUUUCACUCGAGACAUAAGCAGGGACAGCCGAUACGUGGCUAUCCAGGCUUCCCGUAGCCACAGAGAGCCCAUCCAGCUCCAUUCCCCCCCGGUUUCUUGCUCUGCCUCUAACCACAGCUGGAGUUUUUUAGGAAUCUAUGCAAGAGGCAGCCACCAGCCUUGUGCCAUUAUUUUGAUAGCCUAUUACUACUAGCGUGAGCUCUCAAAAAUAAAAAUAGCAGGUUAGUAAGGAGUAGAGUUUGAUGGAGGACAAUACACUGAAGAGGUAUCUGGAUUUUAAAGCUGUUUGUCCCAGGUUGGUGUAGACCCGUCCAUGCCACCUGAAGCUCACCUCCUGCCAUACUCUGCAUGGCUGUGUUUGUCACUUUGGCUGAUUGGAGUUCCUAGGACUGUACUAGUCUCUCUUGCCAUGUGCAGAUGCAUGACUGACUCGUUCCCCUUUCCUCUCUGCCCUCUCUUCCCUUCAUGUCAGCAGCUCAGUUUUUUUAGAUCUCAACUCAGUCAUUACUUACUUCGUGAAGUCUUCCCUGAACUUUCAGAUUUAUAAACUCUCGUAGUCCCAUUUACCUCUCAUUCAGAGCGCCUAAUAUUUCACACUUAUUUGGAUUUAUCAUCUGAUUAAUGCCUGUCUCAUAUUAUUCUCUCAUGAAUAAUCCAGGAAGGCAGAGAUGCCAUUUUUUUCUCAUUGUUACAGCUCCAGUGCAGGUGCUCAAUAAAUAUGUAUUGAAUGAAGGAAGGAAGAGAGGAUUUUCUUUGAGAAAGAGCAGGAGUUGUCCAGUAACUAGAUCUGCUGGAGUUUCUCCUGUAUACUUGCCAUGACUAUCUACUGAUGCCUGAAAAAUAGCACGGGGAAGUGAAUUUGUUCUGGAAAAUUGAGUUUCACUCUUUGCUCAGGAUGUAUUGUGGAAAUUCUUCUGUGAUGAGGUUAAUAAAAUGCUUUCUCGAAACACUUGUGAAGCGAAAUCAAGUUUGGGCUUUCACCUUCCUUGAACUGUGUGUUGAGCUACUGAUUUUUCCUUGGAGUAUUUGGGUAAUGGACAUUUUCCUUCAAUCCUUACAGUAGUCCUUGCUCUAAAUUUCACAGUAUUGAAUGAUGCAAUUCAAAAUUUAAAUGCUUAACAAUGGAAACUGUGGACAGUAAGUACUUGAUGAACGAACUUCAUAAACUAAUGAAAUUACAUGUUUGAGUUCAAGUUUUCCUAGUGUGACUGAAAACACAUUUGCCCUGUGAAUUUAGAAUCAGUACAAAGAAUUCAAAGUGAUUUACACAUUCGAUUUGAUCCAGAGACUCAAGAUGUUAUCAUACAGUUUCUGGCACCUCAAGUGAACCAGAGACUAUAUUCGCGCAAGCUUCAG